UGAAUACGAGACGCUAAGGCGUCGAAGUAGUGUAUGUCAUACUUCCAAGAAAAGCUUGCACUGUCAUAGAUAAAAAACGCCUGUACCAUAACCGACACAGGUGGGUAGGUAGAGUAUACUAAGGGGCGCGAGAUAACUCUCUCUAAGGAACUCGGCAAAAUAACUCCGUAACUUCGGGAGAAGGAGUGCCUUAUUCGUAAGGUUGCAAUAACAAGAUCCAAGCAACUGUUUAUCAAAAACACAGGUCUCCGCUAAGUCGUAAGACGAUGUAUGGGGGCUGACGCCUGCCCAGUGCCAGAAGGUUAAAGAAGUUGGUUAGCAAUUGCGAAGCUGAUAACUGAAGCCCUGGUGAACGGCGGCCGUAACAAUAACGGUCCUAAGGUAGCGAAAUUCCUUGUCGGGUAAGUUCCGACCCGCACGAAAGGCGUAAUGAUUUGGAUACUGUCUCGGAGAGGGGCUCGGUGAAAUAGACUUGUCUGUGAAGAUGCGGACUACCUGCACCAGGACAGAAAGACCCUAUGAAGCUUUACUGUAACUUGAAAUUGAAAUUGGACUUUAUUCGCGCAGUAUAGGUGGGAGGCGUUGAUUAUAAUCUUGUGGGAUUAUUGGAGCCAUCAGUGAGAUACCACUCUUGUAAUGUUAGAUUUCUAACUUUGUAUCAUUAUCUGGUCAAAGAACAGUUUCAGGCGGGCAGUUUGACUGGGGCGGUCGCCUCCUAAACGGUAACGGAGGCGUACAAAGGUUUCCUCUGAACGGUUAGAAAUCGUAUCUAGAGUGUAAAGGCAUAAGGAAGCUUGACUGUGAGACCUACAAGUCGAGCAGGGACGAAAGUCGGUCUUAGUGAUCUGACGGUACUGAGUGGAAAGGCCGUCACUCAACGGAUAAAAGUUACUCUAAGGAUAACAGGCUGAUCUCCCCCAAGAGUUCACAUCGACGGGGAGGUUUGGCACCUCGAUGUCGGCUCAUCGCAUCCUGGGGCGGUAGUACGUCCCAAGGGUUGGGCUGUUCGCCCAUGAAAGCGGUACGCGAGCUGGGUUCAGAACGUCGUGAGACAGUUCGGUCCAUAUCCGGUGUAGGCGUUAGAAUAUUGAGAGGAGCCUUCUUUAGUACGAGAGGACCGAGAAGGACAUACCUCUGGUGUACCAGUUAUCGUGCCAACGGUAAACGCUGGGUAGCUAUGUAUGGAGUGGAUAACCGCUGAAAGCAUCUAAGUGGGAAGCCCACCUCAAGAUAAGUAUUCUC
rnacentral:rRNA from 1 species